AGGUAUGGCAUCUUACACUAUUAGGUGGAUGACUUGGCUCAAAACAGCGAUGAAGGACAUGGCAAGCUGUGAUAAGCCCUGGGUAGGUGCACGCAGCCUUUGAACCAGGGAUGUCUGAAUAGGACUUCCGAUAUAUUCCGAAAGGAAAGCCAACUCGGUGAAUUGAAGCGUCUUAGUAACCGAAGGAAAAGAAAUUAACCAAGAUUCUGUGAUUAGCAGCGAGCGAAAACAGAAGAGAGCAAACUGAAUUUCUUAUAGUAAUAUAAGAUAGAUGUGGUGUUGUAAGACUCACUUUCGAUCCUCCAAACUCAGCCAAAGUUUCCUGGAAAGGAACGCUAUAAAGAGUGAUAGCCUCGUAGGUUGAACUAAAAGGAUUUGUGAGUAUCUUGAGUAGUGUUUCUUGGAUAUGAAGCAUGAAGCUAGGAGUCAUUAACUUCUAACUCUAAAUAUGUUUUGAGUCCGAUAGCGUAUAGUAUAGUGAUAAAACGUUGAAAAGUACCCUUAGCAGGGUGUGAAAAGAUCCUGAAACCUAAUAGUAAUAGAAUGAUACUGCUAUUCGUAGUUGUAUCGUACGUUUAGAAUAACGGGCCAGGGAGUUGAUCUAAGUGGCGAGAAUAAUUCGUAAUAAGAAGCAUUCGUAACGAAAGUAAAAUCUCGCAGUUUACGAGGAGAUAGGUUUUAAUCAGUCUAAGUCACUUGGGUCUAACCAGAAACCAAGCGAUCUAAUCUUGGGCAAGGUGAAGUGGUCUUAACAGACCAUGGAGGCCUGAAGGGAUUCUGUGUGCAUGCGACCCUAUGACCUGAGAUUAGGGGUGAAAAGCUAAUCGAGCUUGGUGAUAGCUGGUUCCUAUCGAAAUAUGCCGAAGUAUAGUCUCAAGCGAGAUAGCUAGGAUUGUAGAGCUACGGAUUUGGAGGUUAGGGGUAGAAAUACCUCGCCUUCUUGUCCAACUCCAAAUGUCCUAGCGUUGUAGACCUUGGGAAUCAGGGGAGCGCGGUAAGCGUGUUUUCCAAUAGGGGAACCACCCUCUCUAUAGUUAAGGUCCCAAAAUGCUAAUUAAGUGUGAAAGGGUGAAGGGUGUAUAUCUGCUUAGACAGCUGGGAGGUUGGCUUAGAAGCAGCCAUCCUUUAAAGAAAGCGUAAUAGCUCACCAGUCAAGGAGGUAUGCCCCGAAAAUGGACGGGGCUAAAUUAGCUACCGAUACUAUAGACUCCAGAAAUGGAUGUGGUAGAUAGGCGUUCUGUAAGGACAGAAGUUUUCUUGUAAAAGGAGAUGGACCUUAUAGAAAUGAGAAUCCUGGCGGUAGUAGGAUCAGAACAGAGUGAGAAUCUCUGAUACCGUAAGACUAAGGUUUUCUUAGCAAUAUAGUUUAGCUAAGAGUAAGUCGAUCCUAACUAAGUUCCUAAUUGGACACUUGGGAAAGGGAAACAGGUUAAUAUUCCUGUACUAUCUAAAUUUUUGCUUAAGUUAAACUUUGGGAUAAACUAACAAUUCUCGUCGGGAUUGUUCUUAAAAACAAGUUAGUGGAGUACUGUAAUAGUGAGAAACUGACUAAGUUUAGGAAGCUAGCAAUAGUUUAGUUGAGUCCUAGAGUCCGUGAAAGAAGCUUAAGGCCGGUUUAGAUAAUCGUACCCAGAACCUGCACUGGUGGUCUAGCUGAGAAGGCUAAGGUAUGAGAGAACAAUCUAACUAAGGGAAUUCGGCAAAAUAGCUCCGUGUCUUCGGUAUAAGGAGUCCCUGCGAUUGUUAGUUUAGCUAGCGAUUACAGGGUGCAAUGACAAGGGGGGUCCGACUGUUUAACAAAAACACAGCAAUCUGCUAGCCAGCAAUGGUUUGUAUAGAUUGCCACGUCUGCCCAGUGCUAGUACUUGAAACUCUUUUCCAAGAGAGCUAAGAGCUAGUAAACGGCGGGAAUAACUAUAAUUCUCUUAAGGUAGCGAAAUGCCUUGCCGUUUGAAUGACGGCCUGCAUGAAUGGCGUAACGAGAUCUCCACUGUCCCUAGUUAGAGUCUCCUGAACACACUAUUCUGGUGCAAAAGCCAGAGAUGCCUAGUGGGAAGUAAAGACCCCGUGGAACUUUACUGUAGUAUGUUGUUGCGAUGUGGAACUUAUUGUGCAGUAUAGGUAGGAGUUGCUAUGGCUUGGUCGUCAGAUCAAGUCUAGACAAAAGUGAGAUACUACCCUUUAAGUUUUAUAUUGCUCACCUCAUGGGACAUCAGCAUGCGGACAGUUUGGCUGGGGCGGCACCCUGCUGAAAGGAUAUCAGCAGGACCCAGAGGUAAGCUCAUCCAGUUUAGAAAUCUGGAGUAGAGUGUAAGAGCAAAAGCUUGCCUGACUGUGUUUUUAACAGUAGGAAACGCAGGAACGAAAGUUGGGUCUAGUGAACGUCUGUACCUCUUUAAUGGGGGUCAGAUAUUAUAGAAAAGCUAUCCCGGGGAUAAUUGAGUCGUAGCGCCUAAGAGCUCAGAUCGACGGCGCUGCUUGCUACUUCGAUGUCGGCUCUUCCUAUCCUGGGUGUGCAGAAUUGUACACAGGAAGGGUUACUCAAUUAGUUUUUACUUUUGUAAACUACGUUGAAACAAUAAUACUCUUUCAUGUCCACUGUGGGCGCCCAAGGGUGAAGGUGUUCACUUAUUAAAAGGGAUCGUGAGCUGGGUUAAGUACGUUGUGAGACAGUAUGUAUAAUAUCUACUAGGUAUGUCCAAGAUCUGAAUGGAAGGACCCUUUAGUACGAGAGGAACAAGGGUUCGGCGCCUCUAGUUUACCUGUUGUCUGAUAAGGCAGGCAGGGCAGCCACGCGCUAUGGGAUAAGAGCUGAAAGCAUCUAAGCUCGAAACCCUCCGUGAAAAUAGAUUUAAAGCACUCUUCAUAACAGGAGUUUGAUAGGCUCGGGGUGUAAGCUUCAAGGCAACGAGAAGUUCAGCCUGCGAGUACUAAUAGCUUAAAUUGCCAUAUCU
rnacentral:rRNA from 1 species